rnacentral:rRNA from 1 species
UAUGGAAUCUUCGGCAAUGGACGAAAGUCUGACCGAGCAACGCCGCGCGAGUGAAGAAGGUUCUCGGAUCGUAAAACUCUGUUGUUAGAGAAGAACAAGGACGUUAGUAACUGAACGUCCCCUGACGGUAUCUAAUCAGAAAGCCACGGCUAACUACGUGCCAGCAGCCGCGGUAAUACGUAGGUGGCAAGCGUUGUCCGGAUUUAUUGGGCGUAAAGCGAGCGCAGGCGGUUUCUUAAGUCUGAUGUGAAAGCCCCCGGCUCAACCGGGGAGGGUCAUUGGAAACUGGUGGACUUGAGUGCAGAAGAGGAGAGUGGAUUUCCGUGUGUAACGGUGAAAUGCGUAGAUAUAUAGAGCAACACCAGUGGCGAAGGCGGCUCACUAGUCUGUAACUGACGCUGAGGCUCGAAAGCGUGGGGAGCAAACAGG